rnacentral:rRNA from 1 species
AACGAACGCUGGCGGCGUGGAUAAGACAUGCAAGUCGAACGGGACAGACCGAGUAGCAAUAUUUGGAAUGUUCAGUGGCGAACGGGUGCGUAACACGUGGAUAACAUUCCGGAAAGCGUGGAAUAGCGCAGGGUAACUUGGAUUAAUACCGCAUGUGGCCGCAAGGCUAACGACGGGGACCGCAAGGCCUGUCACUUUCCGAUUGGUCGGCGCGCUAUCAGCUAGGUGGCGGGGUAAUGGCCCACCAAGGCUACGACGGGUAGCUGGUCUUAGAGGACGACCAGCCACACUGGAACUGAGACACUGUCCAGACACCUACGGGUGGCAGCAGUCGAGAAUCUUUCACAAUGGGGGCAACCCUGAUGGAGCGACGCCGCGUGGAGGAUAAAGUCUUCGGAUUGUAAACUCCUGUCAUGCGAGAACAAGGUACUCAGGCUAAUAACCUGAUUGUUUGAUGGUAACGCAAGAGGAAGAGACGGCUAACUCUGUGCCAGCAGCCGCCGUAAGAC